AGAACGAACGCUGGCGGCAUGCCUAAUACAUGCAAGUCGAACGAACACUUCGGUGUUAGUGGCGCACGGGUGCGUAACGCGUGGGAAUCUGCCCUUGGGUUCGGAAUAACAGUUGGAAACGACUGCUAAUACCGGAUGAUAUCGAAAGAUACAAAGAUUUAUCGCCCGAGGGAUGAGCCCGCGUAGGAUUAGCUAGUUGGUGAGGUAAGGCUCACCAAGGCGACGAUCCUUAGCUGGUCUGAGAGGAUGAUCAGCCACACGUGGACUGAGA
rnacentral:rRNA from 1 species